GCGUAGUACUAGUGGUAGAAUGCUCGCCUGCAACGCGGGCGGCCCCAGGUUCGAUUCCCAGCCGAUGCA